rnacentral:rRNA from 1 species
AUUAGAUACCCUGGUAGUCCAUGCCGUAAACGAUGAGUGCUAAGUGUCCUUUAGGUUUCCGCUUCUCAGUGCUGCAGCUAACAGCAUUAAGCACUCCGUCUGGGGAGUACGACCGCAAGGUUGAAACUCAAAGGAAUUGACGGGGGCCCGCACAAGGCGUGGAGCAUGUGUUUUAUUUCGAAGCAACGCAAAGAAUCUUACCAGGUCUUGACAUCUAGUGCCAUCCUAAGAGAUUAGGAGUUCCCUUCGGGGACACUAAGACAGGUGGAGCAUGGCUGUCGGCUGCUCGCGUCGGGAGAUGUUGGAAUAAGUCCCGCAACGAGCGCCAUCCUUGUUAUUAGUUGCCAGCAUUAAGUUGGAUACUCUAAUGAGACUGCCGGUGACAAACGGGAGGAAGGGAGGGGAUGACGUCAAGUCAUCAAGCACCUUAUGACCUGGCCUACACACGUGCUACA